rnacentral:rRNA from 1 species
AAAAUUGGCGGUAUUUAAUUCUAAUUAGGGGAAUUUGUCUAUAAAUUGAUAAUCCACAAGAUAUCUUACUUUAAUUUAUAAAUUUAUUUAUUGCCGUUAACAGAUUAUUUUUUAAGAAAAUUAAUUUUCUAAUUUAUUUAUAAUUAUAAAUAUUUCAGGUCAUUAUGUAGUUUAUAUUAAAGAUUAGAUUGAUUACAAUAAAAUUUAUUUAAAUGGAAAUUAUAUUGAAAUAUAUAUUUGAAGGUGGACUUAAUAGUAAAAUAAAAUAUUAUAUUUUUU